CACUUGGAACUCCUUAACAUCUCAUGAAGAGAACUUUAGCCAUGUAGCUACAGCGAUAGCAGCGAGGCUGACAAUCCAUUCCCGUUUUCUCUGUCGCAGUGCAUGAUUUUGGGAACGAGAUCUCAAGUCAGAGGGACUCAGAGUACUGACAUAUCGAUUUAUGGAAAGUUAGGCACACAUGCCGGUGACGAUGUUCAGCUGACUUAACGUUGGAGGAUCCGCUUCCUGAUUUUCAACAAGCCCGGUGACAGACAGUGGUGGAUUUAUGGGACAACCAGACUAGCUUUUCUUCAUCAGGGCACUACGAGAGCACGCUGGUAAUGUCGUCAACCCUUGUUCUCCAAGGAUCUUGAAAUGCCACUGCAUGAUUUGCAUGAUUCUACAGCAAAUCGAGUAGCUUCAGUAUUG
rnacentral:lncRNA from 1 species